AUUCUGCUGACGAGUUCGAUAUAGGACGAAACGCGCGUCUUAGAU
rnacentral:hammerhead_ribozyme from 1 species